AGAGUUUGAUCCUGGCUCAGGAUGAACGCUGGCGGCGUGCUUAACACAUGCAAGUCGAACGGAGUUGUUUCGCUGAGGCGAGCUUGCUCAAUUCUUGAGACAACUUAGUGGCGGACGGGUGAGUAACGCGUGACCAACCUGCCCCCCGCUCCGGGACAACCGCUGGAAACGGCGGCUAAUACCGGACACUCCGGGACCCCCGCAUGGGGGGCCCGGGAAAGCCUUCACGGCGGGGGAUGGGGUCGCGGCCCAUUAGGUAGACGGCGGGGUAACGGCCCACCGUGCCCGCGAUGGGUAGCCGGGCUGAGAGGCUGAUCGGCCACAUUGGGACUGAGAUACGGCCCAGACUCCUACGGGAGGCAGCAGUGGGGAAUUUUGCGCAAUGGGGGAAACCCUGACGCAGCAACGCCGCGUGCGGGAUGACGGCCUUCGGGUUGUAAACCGCUUUCAGCAGGGAAGAUUAUGACUGUACCUGCAGAAGAAGCUCCGGCUAACUACGUGCCAGCAGCCGCGGUAAUACGUAGGGAGCGAGCGUUAUCCGGAUUCAUUGGGCGUAAAGCGCGCGUAGGCGGCUUGCUAAGCGGAACCUCUAACCCGAGGGCUCAACCCCCGGUCGGGUUCCGAACUGGCAGGCUCGAGUGCGGUAGGGGCAAGUGGAAUUCCAUGUGUAGCGGUGGAAUGCGCAGAUAUAUGGAAGAACACCGAUGGCGAAGGCAGCUUGCUGGGCCGUCACUGACGCUGAGGUGCGAAAGCGUGGGGAGCGAACAGGAUUAGAUACCCUGGUAGUCCACGCCGUAAACGAUGGGCGCUAGGUGUGGGGGGAUGACCCUCCGUGCCGCAGCUAACGCAUUAAGCGCCCCGCCUGGGGAGUACGGCCGCAAGGCUAAAACUCAAAGGAAUUGACGGGGACCCGCACAAGCAGCGGAGCAUGUGGCUUAAUUCGAAGCAACGCGAAGAACCUUACCAGGGCUUGACAUGCAGGUGAAGCCGGGGAAACCCGGUGGCCUAACGGAGCCUGCGCAGGUGGUGCAUGGCUGUCGUCAGCUCGUGUCGUGAGAUGUUUGGUUAAGUCCAGCAACGAGCGCAACCCCCGUCGCAUGUUGCCAGCAUUAAGUUGGGGACUCGUGCGAGACUGCCGGCGUCAAGCCGGAGGAAGGUGGGGAUGACGUCAAGUCAUCAUGCCCCUUACGCCCUGGGCUGCACACGUGCUACAAUGGCCGGUACAACGGGCUGCCACCCAGCGAUGGGGAGCGAAUCCCUCAAAGCCGGCCCCAGUUCGGAUCGGAGGCUGCAACCCGCCUCCGUGAAGUCGGAGUUGCUAGUAAUCGCGGAUCAGCAUGCCGCGGUGAAUACGUUCCCGGGUCUUGUACACACCGCCCGUCA
rnacentral:rRNA from 1 species